UGGGGAAUAUUGGACAAUGGGCGCAAGCCUGAUCCAGCCAUGCCGCGUGAGUGAUGAAGGCCCUAGGGUUGUAAAGCUCUUUCACCGGUGAAGAUAAUGACGGUAACCGGAGAAGAAGCCCCGGCUAACUUCGUGCCAGCAGCCGCGGUAAUACGAAGGGGGCUAGCGUUGUUCGGAUUUACUGGGCGUAAAGCGCACGUAGGCGGACUAUUAAGUCAGGGGUGAAAUCCCGGGGCUCAACCCCGGAACUGCCUUUGAUACUGGUAGUCUUGAGUUCGGGAGAGGUGGGUGGAAUUCCGAGUGUAGAGGUGAAAUUCGUAGAUAUUCGGAGGAACACCAGUGGCGAAGGCGGCUCACUGGCUCGAUACUGACGCUGAGGUGCGAAAGCGUGGGGAGCAAACAGG
rnacentral:rRNA from 1 species